UGUUCCUAAUUAAUUAAAAAUAUGUAAAAUUAUUUAAUAGUAUACUUUGUCUGGUGUCUUUGGGUAUAAAAGGACUUUGUACCUGUAAUAGCACAUUUUAAUGUGAAUAUUGUCAAUGUCCAAAAUGAAAAUUCAAAUUAAUUAUUCACCGCUCCACCAUUUCUCCUUUGCAUAUAUAUAUUGCAUAUAUAAAUCUUCAAUAAAAAGAUUUAAUGCCAAUAAAUUAUUGUUCAAGAUAAACAUUGGAAUAGUAUUGUCUGAGGAUACAGAAGUAAACUAGACAAAAUGAUCAGUAAUCACCACAAAGCCACAGAAUUUAUUGUUGGUAUAGUUGGUCUGUUUCUUAUUUUCAAUUUCUAUCUUCAUUUUACUGAACAAAAACAAUCUGAUGUUUUGGAUUUAAAUCCAUUUUUGCCUAGGAUGCACAAAUAAUCAAGGUUAAAAUAAAAUACCACCAUAGAUUGCUGUUUGUCUAUAAUAUGUAUAUAUAUAUGGCUGAGUAGUCUAGAGCGCUAGAUACAGUGAUGGCAGUGUUGUCUCGAUAUACCAAUAGCACGAGUUCGAAUCCCAACAGGGGAAGAACACAAAUUUGCUUCCAAACAUUUGCAGAUUUAACAUUGUUGUGUCUUGAUAUUUAGAGUAAUUAUGAAUUCAGUAUGUGUUUUCAGCUGUGUAUCACCUUCACUAAUGAUCCAACGGAUGGAUCUGUUAUAGAGUUGUCACUUGUUUAAACGUACCUUAUAUAUAUAUAUAUAUAUAUAUAUAUAUAUAUAUAUAUAUAGGUUAAAUAUGCUAUAUUCUGAAAAAAAAACAUGCUGAUAAAAAGGUUUACAGACAAAUACAUCAAUAGCAAAUGAUACAGUUGUACAGCUGUGAAGUAACAGUAUAUGGUAUAAAACAAAUACAGAAAAA
rnacentral:lncRNA from 1 species